UACAGAGGUGGCAAGCGUUGUUCGGAAUUACUGGGCGUAAAGGGCGCGUAGGCGGUUCGAUAAGUCCCGUGUGAAAUCCCUCGGCUCAACUGAGGAAUGGCACGGGAAACUGACGGGCUUGAGUUCGGGAGAGGGAAGCGGAAUUCCGGGUGUAGCGGUGAAAUGCGUAGAUAUCCGGAGGAACACCGGUGGCGAAGGCGGGUCUCUGGGCAGUAACUGACGCUGAGGAGCGAAAGCGUGGGGAGCGAACGGG
rnacentral:rRNA from 1 species